CAGUCGCCGCGGUAAUACGAAGGGGGCUAGCGUUGCUCGGAUUUACUGGGCGUAAAGGGCGCGUAGGCGGACAGUUUAGUCAGUGGUGAAAGCCCGGGGCUCAACCUCGGAAUUGCCUUUGAUACUGGCUGUCUUGAGUACGGGAGAGGUGUGUGGAACUCCGAGUGUAGAGGUGAAAUUCGUAGAUAUUCGGAAGAACACCAGUGGCGAAGGCGACACACUGGCCCGUUACUGACGCUGAGGCGCGAAAGCGUGGGGAGCAAACAGGAUUAGAUACCCCCGUAGUCCCUGUCUCUUAUAC
rnacentral:rRNA from 1 species